GCUCCCUCCGUCCGCCACUCAGACUCCUACCGGACGGGCAGCAGUGGGGAAUCGUUGCACAAUGGAGGAAACUCUGAUGCAGCGACGCCGCGUGAGCGAUGAAGCCCUUCGGGGUGUAAAGGCUCUUUCGGCUAGGGAAGAGUUAUGACGGUACCUGCAGAAGCAAGCUGCGGCUAACUACGUGCCAGCAGCCGCGGUAAUUC
rnacentral:rRNA from 1 species